rnacentral:rRNA from 1 species
UACGAAGGGGGCUAGCGUUGCUCGGAAUUACUGGGCGUAAAGCGCACGUAGGCGGCUUUCUAAGUCGGGGGUGAAAUCCUGGAGCUCAACUCCAGAACUGCCUUCGAUACUGGAAAGCUCGAGUCCGGGAGAGGUGAGUGGAACUGCGAGUGUAGAGGUGAAAUUCGUAGAUAUUCGCAAGAACACCAGUGGCGAAGGCGGCCUCCUGGAUCGAUACUGACGCUGAGGCGCGAAAGCGUGGGGAGCGAACAGG